AAAAUCCAAAGGUCAAACUCAGUUUGCAGGAAGGAGCAUAGGAGAAUAAAGGAUGGAACAAAGAAGAAAAAGAACAGCAAGUUACUCUGAGUAUUGUGGAAACAAACUGAAAUUAGAGUGAGAGAGAGAGAGAAAAAAAAAGAAGGUCCGAGCAAUCUCAGAUAUAUGAGAGGCCAAGAUGGGAAGAUCACUUGGGUAAGACUGGGAAGAUUGAGUCUGCAGUGAGUCACAGUCGCAUCAUUCUGCUGGAUUUGAAUGGUACUGCUUCUGGCCCAAGUUGUCUGGGCAACCUUAGACAUGGGUGUCCAUCGCGCUUCCUUCACUGCCUUGAUCAUGUCGGGGUCACCACCUGCGGGGGUUUGUCCUGCAGACCCUGACUCAACGACGGAUGAAUAAUGUACACUGACACAGAUCUUAUGCUUGUCAGUCCUGCUGAGCAUCCAGGCCACUUACAGACUCCAAGAAGAGUCCUGUCAGCCACGGCUCUGACUUGUUGGCCCUCCCGGCAUUUAUUUAGCACACAUUUAAUGACAGAAGUCUCAGGCUGGAAACACUCUUUUUGUAGAACAUACAAAUGGACAUUUCUAAGCACAUUGAGGCCUAUAAUGAAAAAUCAAAUAUCCCACAAUGAAAACUAGAAGGAAGCUAUCUGUGAUAAUGCUUUGUGGUGUAUGGAUUCAUCUCACUGACUGAAACCUGAGUUUUGAUUCACCAGGUUAAAAACGCUCUUUUUGUAGAACCUACAAAAAGACAUUUCUGAGCCCAUUGAGGCCUACAGUGAAAAACCAAGAAUCCCAUAAUACAAUCUAGAAAACAAGCUAUCUAGGAAACUGUUUUGGAUGUGUGGAUUCAUUUAACAGAAUGGAAAUAGUGUUUUGAUUCACCAUGUUUGAAACACUCUUUUUGUGGAAUGCACGAAGAACAUUCUUUGUGGAAGAACAUUGAUGCCUAUAGUGAUUAACCAAAUAUCACGUGAUGCAAACUAGAAACAAGCUAUCUGUGAAAAUGCCUUGCAGCGUAUGGAUUCAUGUCACAGAGUUACACCUAUGUUUUGAUUCAACAGGUUGGAAACAAUCUUUUUGUAGAAUCUACAAAGGAAUAUUUCUGAGCCAAUUGAGUUCUAGAGUGAAAAACAGAAUAUCCUGUGAUAAAAACUAUAAAUAAGCUCUCUGUGAAAUUGCUUUGAGACUGUGGAUGCAUCUUUCAGAGUUAUGCCCUUGCUUAUAUUCAACAGGUUGGAAACACUUUUCUUGUAGAAUCUAUGAAGGGAUAUUUCUGAACCUAUUGAGGCCUAUGGUGAAAAAUUGAAUAUUCUGCGAUAUAAACCAGAAACAAGCUCUCUGUGAAAAUGCUUUUCCAUGUGUGCAUCCAUCUUACAGAGUUAAACGUUUGUUUAGAUUCAACAGGUUGGAAAUACUCUUUUUGUAGAAUCUAUGAAGGGAUAUUUCUGAACUUUUUGAGGCCUAUUGGCAAAAUCCGAAUAUUACGUGAUAAAAACUAGAAACAAGGUAUCAGUGAAAAUGCUUUGUGAUGUGUGGGUUUAUCUCACCAAAUAAAACCUGUGUCUUGAUUCACCAGGUUGGACACACUUUUUUUUCUAUAACCUACAUAGGGCGAUUUCUGAGCCUAUUGAGGUCUAUAGCAAAGCAACAACAACAAAUAUCCUGUCUUAUAAUCUAGAAAGAAGUUAUCUCUGAAAAUACUUUAUGAUGUGUGAAUUCAUCUCACAAAGUUAAACCUUUGUUUUGAUUCAACUGAUUGGAAACACUCUUUUUGUAAAAUCUAUGAAGGGAAAUUUCUGAGCCCAUUUAGGCCUAUAGUGAGAAACAGAAUAUCCCACUGUAAUAAGUAGAAACAAGCUAUCUGUGAAAAUCAUUUAUGGUGGCUGGAUUCAUCUCACCAAAUGAAACCUGUGCUUUGAUUCACCAGUUUGGAAACACUAUUUUUAUAGAAUCUAUGCAGGAAUAUUUCUGAUCCCAUUGAGGCAUAUGCUGAAAAUUCGAAUAUCCCAUGAUAAAAACUACAAACAAGCUAUCUAUGAAAAUGUUUUGUCAUGUGUGGAUUCAUCUCACAGAGUUAAACCUUUGUUUUGAUUCAUCUGUUUGAAAACACGCUUUUUUGUAGAAUCUAAGAAUCAACAUUUCUGAGUGCAUUGAAGCCUAUAGUGAAAAACAAAAUAUCUGAUGAUAAAAACUAGAAACAAGCUAUCUGUGAAAAUGCUUUGUGAUAUGUGGAUUCAUCUCAAAGAAUUAAACUUUAUUUUGAUUCAACAGGCUGGAAACACUGUUUUCGUAGAACCUACAAAAAGACAUUGGGGAGCCCACUGAGUCUUACAGUGAUAAACCAAGGAUCCUGUGAUAAAACUAGAAACAAGCUAUCUGUGAAAAUGCUUUGCAGUUGGUGAAUUUCUUUCAUAGUUAAACCUUUUUUUAUUCAAUACGUUGGAAACACCAUUUUUUAGUGUCUCUAAAGGGACUUUUUCAGCCCUUUGAAACCUAUAGUGAAAAACCAAAUAUCUUGCAAUAAAAACAAAUAAACAAAAAAGAACUACUUAUGAAAAUGCCUUGUGAUGUGUGGAUUCAUCUCACAGAGUUAAACCAUUGUUGUGAUUCAACAGGUUGGAAACAUGCUUUUUGUAGAAUCUACGAGUUGACAUUUCUGAGCCCUCUCUGGGUUAUGGUGAAAACGAAAUAUCCCAUGAUAAAAACUAGAAACAACCUAUCUGUGAAAAUGCUUUGCAAUGUGUGGAUUCAUUUCACAGAAUUAAACCAUUGUUUUGAUUUAACAGGUUG
rnacentral:lncRNA from 1 species